rnacentral:ncRNA from 2 species
UACGGAGGGUGCAAGCGUUGUCCGGAUUUAUUGGGUUUAAAGGGUGCGUAGGCGGGUUAUUAAGUCAGUGGUGAAAGCCGACAGCUCAACUGUCGAACCGCCAUUGAUACUGGUAAUCUUGAGUAUAGUUGAGGCAGGCGGAAUUUACGAUGUAGCGGUGAAAUGCAUAGAUAUCGUAAAGAACACCGAUAGCGAAGGCAGCUUGCUAAACUAUAACUGACGCUGAGGCACGAAAGCAUGGGGAGCGAACAGG